rnacentral:rRNA from 1 species
UACGUAGGGUGCGAGCGUUAAUCGGAAUUACUGGGCGUAAAGUGUGCGCAGGCGGCCGAGCAAGUCGAGUGUGAAAGCCCCGAGCUUAACUUGGGAACUGCGCUCGAAACUACUUGGCUAGAGUGUGGCAGAGGGGAGGUGGAAUUCCACGUGUAGCGGUGAAAAUGCGUAGAGAUGUGGAGGAACACCGAUGGCGAAGGCAGCCUCCUGGGCCAACACUGACGCUCAUGCACGAAAGCGUGGGGAGCAAACAGG